ACUUUAAAGGAAACUAGAAACCC
rnacentral:tRNA from 1 species